rnacentral:rRNA from 1 species
UACGUAGGGGGCUAGCGUUGUCCGGAAUCAUUGGGCGUAAAGAGCGUGUAGGCGGUCCGGUAAGUCCGCUGUGAAAGUCGGGGGCUCAACCCUCGAAAGCCGGUGGAUACUGUGGGGCUAGAGUCCGGAAGAGGCGAGUGGAAUUCCUGGUGUAGCGGUGGAAUGCGCAGAUAUCAGGAGGAACACCAAUAGCGAAGGCAGCUCGCUGGGACGGUACUGACGCUAAGGUGCGAAAGCGUGGGGAGCGAACAGG